UUUUUGGAGAGUUUGAUCCUGGCUCAGGACGAACGCUGGCGGCGUGCUUAACACAUGCAAGUCGAACGGAGUGUUUCAAAAAGCUUGCUUUUUGCAACACUCAGUGGCGCACGGGUGAGUAACACGUGGGCAACCUGCCCGGAAGACUGGGAUAACACCUCGAAAGGGGUGCUAAUACCGGAUACCUUCACGGAGUCGCAUGACUUUGUGCAGAAAGAAAUUCGCUUCCGGAUGGGCCCGCGUCCCAUUAGCUAGUUGGCGAGGUAACGGCUCACCAAGGCGACGAUGGGUAGCUGGUCUGAGAGGACGAUCAGCCACACUGGAACUGAGACACGGUCCAGACUCCUACGGGAGGCAGCAGUGGGGAAUCUUGCGCAAUGGGCGAAAGCCUGACGCAGCAACGCCGCGUGAACGAAGAAGGCCUUCGGGUCGUAAAGUUCUGUCAAGGGGGACGAUAAUGACGGUACCCCUGGAGGAAGCCCCGGCUAACUACGUGCCAGCAGCCGCGGUAAUACGUAGGGGGCGAGCGUU
rnacentral:rRNA from 1 species